AUAAUGGGUCAGCGACUUAUAUUCUGUAGCAAGGUUAACCGAAUAGGGGAGCCGAAGGGAAACCGAGUCUUAACUGGGCGUUAAGUUGCAGGGUAUAGACCCGAAACCCGGUGAUCUAGCCAUGGGCAGGUUGAAGGUUGGGUAACACUAACUGGAGGACCGAACCGACUAAUGUUGAAAAAUUAGCGGAUGACUUGUGGCUGGGGGUGAAAGGCCAAUCAAACCGGGAGAUAGCUGGUUCUCCCCGAAAGCUAUUUAGGUAGCGCCUCGUGAAUUCAUCUCCGGGGGUAGAGCACUGUUUCGGCAAGGGGGUCAUCCCGACUUACCAACCCGAUGCAAACUGCGAAUACCGGAGAAUGUUAUCACGGGAGACACACGGCGGGUGCUAACGUCCGUCGUGAAGAGGGAAACAACCCAGACCGCCAGCUAAGGUCCCAAAGUCAUGGUUAAGUGGGAAACGAUGUGGGAAGGCCCAGACAGCCAGGAUGUUGGCUUAGAAGCAGCCAUCAUUUAAAGAAAGCGUAAUAGCUCACUGGUCGAGUCGGCCUGCGCGGAAGAUGUAACGGGGCUAAACCAUGCACCGAAGCUGCGGCAGCGACGCUGAUGCGUUGUUGGGUAGGGGAGCGUUCUGUAAGCCUGUGAAGGUGUGCUGUGAGGCAUGCUGGAGGUAUCAGAAGUGCGAAUGCUGACAUAAGUAACGAUAAAGCGGGUGAAAAGCCCGCUCGCCGGAAGACCAAGGGUUCCUGUCCAACGUUAAUCGGGGCAGGGUGAGUCGACCCCUAAGGCGAGGCCGAAAGGCGUAGUCGAUGGGAAACAGGUUAAUAUUCCUGUACUUGGUGUUACUGCGAAGGGGGGACGGAGAAGGCUAUGUUGGCCGGGCGACGGUUGUCCCGGUUUAAGCGUGUAGGCUGGUUUUCCAGGCAAAUCCGGAAAAUCAAGGCUGAGGCGUGAUGACGAGGCACUACGGUGCUGAAGCAACAAAUGCCCUGCUUCCAGGAAAAGCCUCUAAGCAUCAGGUAACAUCAAAUCGUACCCCAAACCGACACAGGUGGUCAGGUAGAGAAUACCAAGGCGCUUGAGAGAACUCGGGUGAAGGAACUAGGCAAAAUGGUGCCGUAACUUCGGGAGAAGGCACGCUGAUAUGUAGGUGAAGUCCCUCGCGGAUGGAGCUGAAAUCAGUCGAAGAUACCAGCUGGCUGCAACUGUUUAUUAAAAACACAGCACUGUGCAAACACGAAAGUGGACGUAUACGGUGUGACGCCUGCCCGGUGCCGGAAGGUUAAUUGAUGGGGUCAGCGCAAGCGAAGCUCUUGAUCGAAGCCCCGGUAAACGGCGGCCGUAACUAUAACGGUCCUAAGGUAGCGAAAUUCCUUGUCGGGUAAGUUCCGACCUGCACGAAUGGCGUAAUGAUGGCCAGGCUGUCUCCACCCGAGACUCAGUGAAAUUGAACUCGCUGUGAAGAUGCAGUGUACCCGCGGCAAGACGGAAAGACCCCGUGAACCUUUACUAUAGCUUGACACUGAACAUUGAGCCUUGAUGUGUAGGAUAGGUGGGAGGCUUUGAAGUGUGGACGCCAGUCUGCAUGGAGCCGGCCUUGAAAUACCACCCUUUAAUGUUUGAUGUUCUAACGUUGACCCGUGAUCCGGGUUGCGGACAGUGUCUGGUGGGUAGUUUGACUGGGGCGGUCUCCUCCUAAAGAGUAACGGAGGAGCACGAAGGUUGGCUAAUCCUGGUCGGACAUCAGGAGGUUAGUGCAAUGGCAUAAGCCAGCUUGACUGCGAGCGUGACGGCGCGAGCAGGUGCGAAAGCAGGUCAUAGUGAUCCGGUGGUUCUGAAUGGAAGGGCCAUCGCUCAACGGAUAAAAGGUACUCCGGGGAUAACAGGCUGAUACCGCCCAAGAGUUCAUAUCGACGGCGGUGUUUGGCACCUCGAUGUCGGCUCAUCACAUCCUGGGGCUGAAGUAGGUCCCAAGGGUAUGGCUGUUCGCCAUUUAAAGUGGUACGCGAGCUGGGUUUAGAACGUCGUGAGACAGUUCGGUCCCUAUCUGCCGUGGGCGCUGGAGAACUGAGGGGGGCUGCUCCUAGUACGAGAGGACCGGAGUGGACGCAUCACUGGUGUUCGGGUUGUCAUGCCAAUGGCACUGCCCGGUAGCUAAAUGCGGAAGAGAUAAGUGCUGAAAGCAUCUAAGCACGAAACUUGCCCCGAGAUGAGUUCUCCCUGACUC
rnacentral:rRNA from 1 species